CGCGCGCUGCUGAGUACUGCGCAGGCGCCUAGCCGCCGCCCGGGCCUUGGGCCAAUCUGGGCGGCCCGACAGUGCCCCCUUUCGCUAGCGGCCACCACGCCCACCCCUGGUCUCAUCCAGCUUCUUAAAGAGGUAUGAGCCUAGAACUAGUGGGGACGAGUGCUGGGUUCUGUAUAGGGUGGGAGGGAAGGAGCGGGGCGGCGACCACAUUGCUUCCGAGCGCCGCGGCCCCUUAGGUGAGGCACUCGCCAAAUGCGUUCUAGGAUGCCCGGUGGGCAGCGUAGGGGGCGGAGCCGGUUAACCCAGCACAGCGGCCGCCAGUGAGUGCAGUGUGGCGCCUUGCAGCGAGGCGCGGUGCUGCUUUGGCGGGCCGUGAGCCCCGCGCACUGCACAUCCGGGUCCUGACGCGGCAGAGAGAUCGAGCUUUGCACCCACUGGCUGGCCCCAUGCAGAGAAAUGUGGGACCUCCGGAGCUCCCGCAUCCCUCAACCCUGCGUGCGACGCCCUCCACCCCGCCGCUGUCUUCUCAGCCGCAGUAACCCUUUGGAAUCUUCAAUAACGGGAACCUAGUCCUGCUCAAGAGCUCUCUGUGGCUCCCCACUGCCCACAGGCAGCGGAGCUCAGACUUUCUACCUGUUCCAGACCCUGAACCAGGCUGUGGCUGCUUUUGCACUCUGCUGAAGUACCACGCCUUCCCCAGGCUUCUGCCUAAUGUAGGUCUGGGGAUGGCGGUGAGGAGAGGUCCUCAGCCAACAUCUGGCUGCUUCCCUGUGGCAGUGGGCCUGAACACCUCUCCGUGAAGGGGUCAGAUCGGGAUACAAAUGCAAAACAGUCUUCUUGCGCCUCCCCCUGGAGAGGAAGUGAAAUGGACAGAGAAGUUGCGCUGCCCGAAAGAAAGCGCUUCUUGUGCCUGAGGUUUGGUAAACCAGCCCCUGAAGUAAAUGUCUUAUCAAUAGCAAUAGUAGCUAAUUAAAAUAGCUGACGUAUAUUAAGAACUGAGUCAGGCAUGGCGCUCAUCUCUUUACCUGCAUUUAGCUCAUUUUACUCUCCCCAAACAAUUAAGUGGUAUUGCUCACUGUACUUCCAUUGUGCAGAUGAUGAAACUGAGGCACGGAGAAAUCCGAAUAACUAGUGUAAGAACAUGUAAAGUGGUGGAACUAGAAAGAUGUUUUGUUCACCGAUAUAUUCACCUCUAGCAUAGGUAUAUAUGCACCUAUUUCAAUGCUUUGUUCUUAGUGGGUACUCAAGCUCUUUGUGGAAAUGAGUAAUGAGCAGCUGCUUUAAAAAAUAUUAUUUAAAGUAAUUAUAGACAGGUAGUUCCAAAAAUACUACGGAGGGGCCCCGAGUACUUUUUCCCCAGCUUCUCCCAGUGGUAUCAUAUAUAAUAUCAAAACCAGAAAAUUGGUUCCGAUAAUCUACAUUGUAAUGUGCUUUUUAAUGUGCUUGGCAUUUUGCAAACUGGUGUAGUUGUUAUGAU